UAUUAACAUUUAUGACGUCUUUUUUUAUAACUUACAUAUUUGAAUUAAAUGUUCAAAGACCUGGGGCUUUUUGUACAACAUCCCCACAUAAACCUCGACUUCGACGACCCUGGCUGUUAGCUUACUUUCAUACAGUUAGCUUAAUUAAAACGUAACGUUAUCGCUUAUAAGAAUAAUAUAUUAGUAAGACACUGGGCACAAAUAUGAGAAUGUAAACAUGUAUAUGCACAAAGAAGGUAAUACUACCCCCCGAUUCAAGUAAACCGAGGAGAGUCCUACAGAGACUGCAGAAGCUUCCAUCAUCCAGCUUCCAAACAUCUUUUCUCCAAAAGGAUUUACAAAGUCCUUCAGGCCAGAAGUGUCCCAGGCCAUUGCACGACAUCAGCCUCAAGCCAUCUCCCUCACAAGCCGUGUGAGACAAUCUGAUGGCAGCCGCGAGCGCCGCAUCUACUGAUUCAUCACCUCGGUGACAAGAGCGCCACACUCCCCACUUGGGUUACAGCCUGGGAAGCACUCACCUCGGUAAGAUGUCUGCUGGUGUGAUGUUACUCCAGUGACUCACUCAUCCACAUCAGGUUUACAGGCCAGAUUUGACCAAAGUCGCCUGGCGGAGUUCGUGUUUCUGCAGCCACACAGGGCGCCGUACAUGGGGGGAUCCACUGAAGUUGGUGGCCACUAAUGCAACAUACCGGGCGGAUACGACUCCUCCGGCCGCCCCAGCUGAGACGUCGUAUGUGACCAGUGUGUUGUCGUCGACUCGCUGCAAGAUCUAAAGAAGAAGAAAGAAACAUUCAAACCUUUUUCAUUUUUAAUGGCCGUACAGUUCUGAAGCUGACCUGGCAGACUGACACGGUUCUGUUCCACAUGACCAUCUUCUCAGGCUGUAGGAUGACUUCCUGGUACACCAGCUCAGCAGGACACUGCAUGAAGGCCUGAGGGAAGCAAAAAUAACUCAACGUAGAUGUUGUAUCAGGCCAACAGUCACCAGCACACCCAGUGAAGAACCCUUAGUUCCACACUAUUACAAUAAUGUGACAUCUACCAGCCAGUCAGCACAAAAAGGAACACUGGGAAGCCAAGAAUUCCCACAACUAGCUUCAAGCCAAAUAUGAACAAAGAACAUGGCUAACGACGAUGUUGUCCUCCUGGGCGAGGAUCUGCUCGACGAUGGUGAGAGCCUCGCGUCCUUGUCCUACAUACUCCUUCUCCUGCGGGAACAGAAAAAAUGUCAGAGAGAUGGCGUCCAUGUUUGGACGCCUCCUGCUGGCCACUGCUGGUACCUGAGCGGUCACGGCACGCCGGCCGAGGCCCUCUUCAUCAAGAUCCUCCUCAGAGCCUGCAGAUCAGGGUAAGAAAAUGUCAGCAAGAUGGAGGGGAGCAGGGGGUUGUGUUGCAAACAUCACCUGCAACCGAUUCGGGCGGCGAGUAGAACUGUCCAUCUGAGAGGGCGCGAGGGUACAUCAUGGGGGCGCGCUCGCAGGCCGCGUUCACCGCCGCCAGGUAGGCUAAGGUCAAAUUACGUUUAAAAAAAGAUUUUUUUGGGUGCGUUUGCUUGCUGGUUCGUCAUGCCCACCUCUAUCAUCAUCUGCCUCCUGGGUGAGCACCUUAAAGUCCAGGAACCAGGUCUCCAGCCAAGCCACCACAAAGGAGGUGAUGGGCAGCACAUAGCCAAAUGCAUUCUGGGACAGCAGCUGUGUGCACACUUCUAUUUAACAAACUUCCUCAUUGCUCACCAUAAAAAGUGAACGAGAGGUAAACGUUUGGAGCGCAGCAGAAACAUCAGGCAUCAGAAGUUAACAAAGCCACAAGGAACGUUUGAUGUUUUGCAAUAAAAUCCCACCGAUCAGGCGGUUUUCUGGUCAAACAGUUCUUUACCGACACAAAUGCAGAAGUGAAAAGGUUUGAGGUUGAAACUGGUUUGCUCGCAUGUCAACACAUACUUUGAGAAAAGAAGAAGUACUCACGUUAGAAACGAUGACCUUCACAACGAGGAAGACGCUGGUCACAAGAGUGGUGACCUGUAGAACAUUUCCCUUUUACUUUCUGGCGUCUGGGAAAUUUGCGUGUGGGACCAUUACAGCGGAACCUUCAUUUACGAACCCCUCUGUCUGCGAACUAUUUGAUUGUGCCAAACCGCCCACCCGCACACACACACGUUGUUAGGGCAUACCAAGUGCGGAGAGUAAAGGUGGACAAAAGCAUUGGUGAGGAGUGACCUAUUUUUAGAGCAGGCUCUGGAUUUUUGACAGUUAGGUUUCUUCCCCAGUGCUGUUAUUGGUAUUGUUUGUACGUACUAUUUUGUUAAUCUUCAAUUGUAUCGUACUUUCCGGGCUAUAAAGCGCAACGAUAUUAGCCGCAUCCACCAAAUUUUAGAAGUAAUAAAUAUUUUUACAUACAUUAUUCGCACUGGACCAUAAGCCACAGAUACUGUAUACAACAAUUUAAAAGAUUUUGCAAAUGCUUAUUUAUAUACCUUAAUUGUUUCCAAACGGUGCCUGUCACUCGGCAGUAAAACGGAUGAUCAAACAAAACACUAGCUGCGGAAGUCAGCUCUCCAAUCAGCUGUGACGUUUUGUCAAAUUUACAAAACUGAAGCAAUAUAAAAAUAAUGCCAUUGUAAUAAUACUCAUACAGACACUUGUAAACGUGCGGACAUUUGCUAAUGUUCACGAUGCUAUCUAUCUAUCCAUUUUCUACUGCUUGUCCCUUUCGGGGUCGCGGGGUGUGCUGGAGCCUCUCAGCUGCAUUCGGGCGCAAGGCGGGGUACACCCUGGACAGGGCCAACACAGACAGACAGACAACAUUCACACUCACAUUCACACACUAGGGCCAAGUUAGUGUUGCCAAUCAACCUAUCCCCAGGUGCAUGUCUUUGGAGGUGGGAGGAAGCCGGAGUCCCCGUAGGGAACCCACGCAAUCACGGGGAAAACAGCAAACCCCACGCAGAAAGAUCCCAAGCCCAGGAUUUCUAUUGUGAGGCACAUGCACUAACCCUUGUUCCGCCGUGCUGCAACGACGCUAGCUUGAUUAUAUUACGAUAGCAUGUACAAAUAUGCAUGAAAACACUCCCACAGACAUCACACAUGGGGCGCUUUAUUAAGUGUGAAUUGUUUUCGUUAAAUUACAAAACUUGUAAACGUUGCUUGGAGUGAUGAAUGAAGAAUCAUUUCGAAUACAAACGCUAAAGACUAAUAGUAGUCGAAACAGGAUAUACUGCCGCUUCAAGGCACGAAACAGGAACUACAUUUUCAACCCCCAGCAUCUGCAGGGAGCCAACACGUCCAAAAGAUGGCGCCAUAACACAAACAAUAACAAAACUUUGCAGUGUCUUUUUCUGUGUUUUAUGAAAAUUAUUUGUUGAUACAAAACAUUAUGGCCAUUAGCGAAGAAAAACCCAUGAAUUAUCUCCACCAGUUUAUAAGCUGCAGGGUUCAAGGCGUAGGAAAAGUUAGCGGUUUACAGUCCGAAAAAUACCUGUACAGUAGUCACCUCACGUUAUUUAGACAGCCUUAGAACAAAAUAAUCUGGGAGGAGGACUUUUUGUUGCAACGGGGUGGGUCCCAAUAUUUCUUGUGGAGAAAUUUGCUUCACUAUACGAAAUGUUCCAUUUAAGAACCCUGUUCAAUAAUCAAAUAAGUUCGUAAAUCGAGGUUUCAAUGUAUUACGAUUAGGGAUGAUGUUUGAUAAGAAAUUAUCGAGUUAGAGCCCAUUAUCGAAUCCUCUUAUCGAACCAAUUCCUUAUCGAUUCUCUUUUUGAAUCCAGAUAGGUUGUAGUAUAUGGAAAAAAACACAAUAUUUGGUUUAACAAAAGCUCACUUUUAUUUUAUAAGAAAAAAAUUAAAUUAAAAUAAAUAAAUAAAUAUUGACGGUUACCCCCCUAUAAAAAUAAAAUAAAUACAUAUUGACUGUUGUUAUCCAAAGUAUAUUAUGUGGGAUUUUUCAGAAAAACAAAUAUAUACAGCAACACAAAAA